rnacentral:rRNA from 1 species
GGCCUACGGGAGGCAGCAGUGAGGAAUAUUGGUCAAUGGGCGAGAGCCUGAACCAGCCAAGUCGCGUGAAGGAAGAAGGUUCUAUGGAUUGUAAACUUCUUUUGCACGGGAAUAAAGUGAGCUACGUGUAGCUUAUUGUAUGUACUGUGCGAAUAAGGAUCGGCUAACUCCGUGCCAGCAGCCGCGGUAAUACGGAGGAUCCGAGCGUUAUCCGGAUUUAUUGGGUUUAAAGGGUGCGUAGGCGGGAGAUUAAGUCAGUGGUGAAAGUUUGCAGCUUAACUGUAAAAUUGCCAUUGAAACUGAUUUUCUUGAGUGUAAAUAAGGUAGGCGGAAUGUGUUGUGUAGCGGUGAAAUGCAUAGAUAUAACACAGAACCCCGAUUGCGAAGGCAGCUUACCGGGCUACAACUGACGCUGAGGCACGAAAGCGUGGGGAUCAAACAGGAUUAGAUACCCCAGUAGUCCC